GACGAACGCUGGCGGCGUGCCUAACACAUGCAAGUAGAACGCUGAGGGAGGAGAUUGCUUCUCUGGUUGAGUAGCGAACGGGUGCGUCACGCGUGGGUAACCUGCCCGGUAGUGGGGGAUAACUAUUGGAAACGCUAGCUAAUACCGCAUAAUAGUAGCUGUUGCAUGACCUUUGCUUAAAAGGUGCAAUUGCAUCACUAAUAGCUGGACCUGCGUUGUAUUGUUUAGUUGGUGGGGUAACGGCUCACCAAGGCGACGAUACAUACCCGCCCUGAGAGGGUGAGCGGCCAAGCUGGGACUGGGACACGGCCCAGAACCCUACGGGAGGCAGCAGUAGGGAAUCCUCAGCGAUGGACGGAAGUCGGACCAAGGAACGCCGCGUGAGUGAAGAAGGUUUUCAGGUCGUAAAACUCUGUUGGAAGAGAGGGACGAGUGUGAGAGUGGAAAGUGCACACUGUGACGGUAUCUUACCAAAAAGGCACGGCUAACUACGUG
rnacentral:rRNA from 1 species